rnacentral:lncRNA from 1 species
AAAAAAAAGAAGUGUAGCUAUGUCGUGAGCGACUGAAUCGUGGCCGUGUCUGAGGUCAGAAUCCCAGGUUGGAGUCAUCGGUUCACCCCGUAAGAGCUGGGAACAUCGCAUGUUCUCUCUGAGCCUCAGUUUUUCCAUUUCUAAAAUGGGGAUCACAGUAGCGCUUUCCUCAUCAAAUUGCUGUGAGGCUUCGAUAAGAUGAUGCAUGUCAAUUUUCCAGCAUGUGCAGGCAUCCAAGGAGGGUUAACUUACAGUCCUUGUGAGUAUUGUCAUCAUUUGUUUUCUAUAAUAACCAUGUUGGAUGCAUGAGUGGCAGAACAACCUGGAGGGUGAGUUCCCUUGCAGGAGCCCCAGAGGCUGGGGGAGCCUGGAAGGGACUUCUCCAUUUGCAGUGAUCAGGAGCGAUGGUCAAAGAGCGAUGUGAAUGCAGAACGGAGACUACGAAGCAAGACCAGAAGGCCAGGGCCGGAGGGACUGAGGGAGACAGUCAUGCUGCUUCAUUUCACAGAUGAGCAAACUGAGACUCCAAGAGG